AUCUGACCAUCUAGCAGCAAACAAAUAGGACAAUUAUGCUAGAUGAGGUCCUCGAUUAUGUGAAGUUUCUGAGGCUUCAAGUCAAGGUUCAGCUCAUUAUGUUAAUGUCUUUGAAUCAUUAACCACCAGUUGAGCUACUUGUUUGAUCACUAAUGGGACUUUGAUUCUGUAACGUUAGGUUCUAAGCAUGGGCAGUGCUGGUGUUGUGGCACAACUGCUGAUAUCCCACUUUCAGUUAAGUUACACCUAUGAUUUGUGACUACUAAGUAUUGCCCUCUGAUAACUUCACUUUUACUGCCAUGAAACUGUAAACCAAUGUGUUGUUUGUUUGGUAAGCUGGAACAAAUAUAUACCCAAUAUACAAUUCACUACUAUGUUUAAAUGAAGAAUAGUUUGAUCAUAAUAAAUUUGGCGCUUUGUACUAGCCACCUACACAAUAUUGGAAAGCUUUUCACAUGUACUAGCCACCUACACAAUAUUGGAAAGUUUUUCACAUGUUUAUUUACCUACUAGCCUUUCAUGUGUGUUAGAGCCGAGAGCCCCCCAUGGUACCUCUCAGUUGUUGGACGACCUCUAUAUGUAUGCCUGUUUGACUACAGAAACAUGAUUUCUUACCUGCUUCUAAGCCUGGAAGUCAGCUAUUUUUUUGACAUCAGAUAUUUAUCUCUUAUUUCAUAGGAGCAUCAAGCAGGAGCUAAAGCGUUAUUAC
rnacentral:lncRNA from 1 species